CCUACGGGAGGCAGCAGUGGGGGCUAUUGCACAAUGGGGGAAACCCUGAUGCAGCGACGCCGCGUGGGCGAAGAAGUAUUUCGGUAUGUAAAGCCCUAUCAGCAGGGAAGAAGCAAUGACGGUACCUGCGUAAGAAGCACCGGCUACAUACGUUCCAGCAGCCGCGGUAAUACGUAUGGUGCAAGCGUUAUCCGGAUGUACUGGGGGUAAAGGUAGCGCAGGCGGCACGGCAAGCCUGAUGGGAAAGCCCGAGGCUGAACCGCGGGACUGCAUUGGGAACGACCGGGUUAGAGUGCCGGAGAGGUAGGCGGAAGUCCUAGUGUAGCGGUGAAAUGCGUAGAUAUUAGCAGGAACACCAGUGGCGAAGGCGGCCUACUGGACGGUGACUGACGCUGAGGCUCGAAAGCGUGGGGAGCAAACAGGAUUAGAUACCCCUGUAGUC
rnacentral:rRNA from 1 species